ensembl:lncRNA
CAGGGAGUCUGAUACUGAAGGUACAGGAGGAGACAUGUUGAAGCCAGGGAGCCUGAUACUGAAGGUACAGGAGGAGACAUGUUUAAGCCAGGGAGACUGAUACUGAAGGUACACGAGGAGACAUGUUGAAGCCAGGGAGACUGAUACUGAAGGUACAGGAGGAGACAUGUUGAAGCCAGGGAGUCUGAUACUGAAGGUACAGGAGGAGACAUGUUGAAGCCAAGGAGGCUGAUACUGAAGGUACAGGAGGAGACAUGUUGAAGCCAAGGAGACUGAUACUGAAGGUACAGGAGGAGACAUGUUGAAGCCACGGAG